CAACUCUCAACAACGGAUAUCUUGGCUCCCGUAUCGAUGAAGAACGCAGCGAAAUGCGAUACGUAGUGUGAAUUGCAGAAUUCCGUGAACCAUCGAAUCUUUGAACGCAACUUGCGCCCGCGGCCUCGGCCAAGGGCAUGUCUGCCUCAGCGUCGGUUUA
rnacentral:rRNA from 1 species